UACGUAUGGUGCAAGCGUUAUCCGGAUUUACUGGGUGUAAAGGGAGCGCAGGCGGCACGGCAAGCCUGAUGUGAAAGCCCGCGGCCCAACCGCGGGACUGCAUCGGGAACUACCGGGCUGGAGUGCCGGAGAGGUAGGCGGAAUUCCUAGUGUAGCGGUGAAAUGCGUAGAUAUUAGGAGGAACACCAGUGGCGAAGGCGGCCUACUGGACGGUGACUGACGCUGAGGCUCGAAAGCGUGGGGAGCAAACAGG
rnacentral:rRNA from 1 species